UCAUGACCUGAGCUGAAGUUGGAUGCUCAACCGACUGAGCCACCCAGGUCAAGACUCAUCUUCUUGACCUUGGUGACAACACUUGCAUUUUUUGCUCCAUGCUGGUUUUUUUGUUUGCACCAGCAGCUUCCAUGAAGUCAGCCAUCCAACCUGAGCGUAGGGCUUUCCUUCCCAUGUUGAGAUCAUGUCUUUCCAGGCUGACUUAAUAUUUUCUUUCUGGAUGUUACCUCAAUAAAUAACCUGUCUGAAACCAUAUUUGCCUUUUGUGUCCUUAGAUUAAUUUCCUCCCCAGAUUUGUACCUUCCUCUCAUGGUGCUGUCAUUCUCCCAGUCUCUCACUCUUGAAACUACUUUAUCAUCUUUGCUUCUUCCCUCCUCAUUAAGUCUGUGAGACUUUAUAUAGUACCUGUCAUCCCUGUUUCCAUCUUCAUAGUCUUAUGGCCACCAUGCUAAUUCAGCCUUUCAUCACUUCCUGCUGGGAUUGUGAAGGUGGCUUCUGAACUGAUCACUUAGUCUCUAGUCCCUCUUCUGUCCACCCUACUCACUGAUGUCUCUGAUAGAUGAAUCUUCUCAACUCACUGGGUUGUACCUUGUUUCUUUUUUAAAAAGUCUGUGAUUUAUACCAACCAUGAUUUAUUUCUUUGAACUUUGUUUGUUUGUUGUUUUGGUUCCCCUAAUGGUAUCCCUGACUACUUUAUCUUACUCAACCUUAUUUUCUGUGGUUCCUGUACACAAAACUCUGAGAUACAGCAAAAAUGGUCUAUUAUUCCCUGAAUACCCAAUGGAUACAUAUACCCACUGCUGCUACGUUGUCCACUCUAUUCCAUUCUCGGAGAGAUUUCUCAUUCUUCUUUCCAUACCUGUUGUCUUGUCCUAAUUUCAAGGCUCCCCUCAAUUUCCAGCUCUUCCAUGAAUUCUUGCUUGGUCGUGUCAACUUUAAGUAAUCAUUCCUUCCUUUGAACUUAUCGUCUGUGACAGGCAAUUGAACAUUUUGUGUUAUUGUUCAUUUUCAAGGUACUUCUUCUCUCCAACCAGAGUUCAGCUUCCUUGAGUUUCAUACCUCUGAUGAGUUCCUGUGGUGUGCUUGAACUGUCCCAGAUGCUUGCAUCUUAAUAAUAACAAUGCCUAUCAGUAUUUCUGUGAAGAAUGAUGCCUAAAACAUCAAGUUGUAUGAUUGCAUUUUUGAUCUCUUAUGUGUGUUGGAAACCAAAGGGCUCUGCUCAUUCUGGCUUUUGAGUGCAUGCAGCAUGUCAGAUGCUUUCAUUGAUUCUCUGUCACUGAAUCCUCAUGAUUUUUUGAGGCAGUUGUCAUCCCAUUUUACAGUUGGGGAAACUGAAGCUCAGACUAUUGUGUGCCCAGGGUUACACAACUGCUAAGUGGCAGAGCUGGGAUUAAAAUAUUUCCCAUGUCUGCCUGCUUCCAAAGCCCUCUUCUUCUCUGUAGCACACUGCCUUUUGUGGGGCUGGUUUGGCAAGGCAUUCCUAUGGGGGUCAUCUCUGAGGUAUCUAACACUUUAGAUGAUCUGUAAUAAACAUUUCAAGUACAUGGGAAUGGAAUCAAGUUGAGGAGAUAAAGUAAUUUAUUUAUACCACUCACUUGCAUUUACUCUCUUUGUUUCUUUUAUCAACUUUCAUGGCUUCUGAGGUAUAGAGUCUGUCCAGAAGCCCUUUGAAUAAAGACCAAGGGAAACACAAAUUAAGUAUGUAGAAUUCUGCAGGGUAGCCUAGGCAAGUGGUUUUCAUCUGUUUGACAGGCAACUCUAUUUCUGAUUGUAAGGCAGGAAUUUUGGGAAAGUAGGCUGCUCUCAAGGCAAGUAGGCAACAUUUUCAGAUUUAACUCAGUGUGACCUUCAGAAGGUAGUUCAUUUAUUUGGUUAGUGGUGUUAUGGAUUAUAGGAUUUUAGUCAUGCCUCAGUUUUCAAAUGCAAGUACCAAAGAACACUUCCUAGAGCUCACUUGAAAAAAAGUUCCAUCUAUAGCUUCCCUCCCAAAAGCAUCAUGCAGAAUAAUAUUGUACAUAGUAUUUAGUGAGUAUCAAAGAGUGGGGAGAUAUAAAUGAACAAUUUCAGCUGCCUGGGGGUGGAAACAGUGAUUCAUAGACUUAAGAUUUAGAACUCAAAUAUUCUUGGUUUGUACUCAAUGAAGAGCAGCAUCAAUAAGUUUUAUGAACAGAAAACAGUUUACUGAUAGUAUGUGAAUACUUUAGAAACGAAAGGAAAUCAUCAACCUUAUUUUAUUUUUUGUAAUGUCAUCAAAAUAUAUUUGUUUCCUCUAUUAUACUAAUUAUUGAGUUAAAUGGCAUAUUUAGAAAAUAUACAACAUGUGGAGUUUAUAGAGUUCUCAUGUACAAAAUGGACAUUUUCUACUUUGGGGAGCUUUAUGGAUCAUAUUGAAAGCCAUAGUAACUCCGUUCUUAACAGGUAACACCAUUAGCUACCUCUGGCUCAGCUCCUCCAACCUUGGGAAACAGAAGCUGCUUUGUGGGUUCCCCCUCCCCCCCCCCCACUCAUGCAGUUAUCACUAAUCAUCAUUUCAGAGACAGUUGAGGUCUCAGGAC